rnacentral:tRNA from 1 species
UCCCUGGUGGUUCAAUGGUUAAGACUCUAUGUUUCCAAUGCAAGGGGCUCGGGUUCAAUCCCUGGUCAGGGAG